GCGAAGAAGGACGUGGCUACCGGCGAAACGUUUCGGGGAGUUGGAAGUAAGCUUUGAUCCGAAAGUAUCCGAAUGAGGAAACUCAAUAACUUCUUACUGAAUCUAUAAGUAAAGAAAGAGCAAACCUAGGGAACUGAAACAUCUUAGUACCUAGAGGAAAAGAAAGUAAAAACGAUUCCCUGAGUAGUGGCGAACGAAACGGGAAGAGCCUAAACUUUUUAAAAUUGUAUGAUUUUGAAAAGGGUUGUGGGAAGAAUAAGUUUUUCGUUCUUUAAAAAACGAAAACUAAAAAAGAAACUCAAGCAAAAGCUAAGUCUUUUUAAGAAAUUAGGUGAAAUAAUUGGAAAGUUAUACCAAAGAAAGUGAUAGUCUUGUAACCAAAAAUUUCUUUACUAUAAUUUAUUCCCGAGUAGCAUGGGGCACGUGGAAUCCCGUGUGAAUCUGCGAGGACCACCUCGUAAGGCUAAAUAUUCCUGAAUGUCCGAUAGCGUAUAGUACCGCGAGGGAAAGGUGAAAAGAACCCCGGGAGGGGAGUGAAAUAGAACGUGAAAUUGCAAGCCCACAAACAGAAAGAGAACGACUUAGCGUUUAAUUUCGUGCCUGUUGAAGAAUGUUCCGGCGACUUAUAGUUAGUGGCAGGUUAAGAGAGAGAUCUCGGAGCCAGAGUGAAAGCGAGCUUGAAUAGAGCGUUCGUCACUAAUUAUAGACCCGAACCCGGUUGAUCUAACCAUGGCCAGGAUGAAACUUAGGUAAUACUAAGUGGAGGUCCGAACCGACUGAUGUUGAAAAAUCAGCGGAUGAGUUGUGGUUAGGGGUGAAAUGCCAAUCGAAACCGGAGCUAGCUGGUUCUCCCCGAAAUGUAUUUAGGUGCAGCGGUUAAUAUUAUAGCGUAGGGGUAAAGCACUGUUUCGGUGCGGGCUGGUAAUUCGGUACCAAAUCGAGGCAAACUCUGAAUACUACGUGCACAGUUAACCAGUAAGACUAUGGGGGAUAAGCUUCAUAGUCAAGAGGGAAACAGCCCAGAUCACCAGCUAAGGCCCCUAAAUAAUGACUAAGUGAUAAAGGAAGUGGAAAGGCUUAGACAACCAGGAGGUUUGCUUAGAAGCAGCAAUCCUUUAAAAAGUGCGUAAUAGCUUACUGGUCUAGCAAUUCUGCGCCGAAAACUUAUGGGACUAAGUCAUUUGCCGAAGCUGUGAGAUAGAAAGAUAUCUUUCUAUCGGUAGGGGAGCGUUCUGUUGUAGAGUGAAGUAUUAGCGAAAGCGGGUAUGGACGAAACAGAAGUGAGAAUGUCGGAUUGAGUAGCGAAAACAUUGGUGAGAAUCCAAUGCUCCGAAAACCUAAGGUUUCCUCCGCAAGGCUCGUCCACGGAGGGUUAGUCAGGACCUAAGAUGAGGCUGAGAAGCGUAGUCGAUGGAGAAUUGGUCAAUAUUCCAAUACUCGGUUCUAGCAGGUAUCGAGGGACGAAGAAGGCUAAACUAGCCAGAUAUUGGUUACUGGUUUAAGUAGUUAAUUCGAAUGAAAGAGAAUCAGCUGAACUUCGUUCAAAAGAGAAAUUUUGAGUUGGGAUUAUUUAUGAGGUGUUGAGGAUUAGAGAAAAUAAUCUGAGCUGAAAUACGAAUACAAGAUUUUUAAAAUCAAAGUAGUUGAUGUCAUACUUCCAAGAAAAGCUCGCUAUGCCUUAUGCUAGAAUCACCUGUACCAGAAACCGACACAGGUAGGUAGGUAGAGAAUACCAAGGAGCGCGGGAGAACCCUCCUUAAGGAACUCGGCAAAAUAGCUCUGUAACUUCGGAAGAAAGAGUGCCUUUUAGGCUGCAAUAUCAAGUUCCAAGCAACUGUUUAGCAAAAACACAGGUCUCCGCAAAGUGGUAACACGACGUAUGGGGGCUGACGCCUGCCCAGUGCUGGAAGGUUAAAGAAGUCGGUUAGCGCAAGCAAAGCUGGUAACUGAAGCCCCAGUGAACGGCGGCCGUAACUAUAACGGUCCUAAGGUAGCGAAAUUCCUUGUCAGGUAAGUUCUGACCCGCACGAAUGGCGUAAUGAUUUGGAAGCUGUCUCGAGGAGGGACUCGGUGAAAUAGAACUAGCUGUGAAGAUGCGGCUUACCUGCGCCUGGACAGUAAGACCCUAUGAAGCUUUACUGUAUCCUGAAAUUGGAUUUCGAUUUUAUUUGCGCAGAAUAGGUGGGAGACGGUGAAAUCUUUCUUUUGGGAAGGAUGGAGUCAUUAGUGAGAUACCACUCUGAUAAAAUUAAAAUUCUAACUUCAUACCGUAAGCCGGUUGAAAGACAGUUUCAGGUGGGCAGUUUGACUGGGGCGGUCGCCUCCCAAAAGGUAACGGAGGCGUACAAAGGUUUCCUCAGAUCGGUCAGAAAUCGAUCUUUGAGUGCAAAGGCAAAAGGAAGCUUAACUGUGAGACAAACAAGUCGAGCAGAGACGAAAGUCGGUCUUAGUGAUCUGACGAUGCUGUGUGGAAAGGUCGUCACUCAACGGAUAAAAGUUACUCUAGGGAUAACAGGCUGAUCUCCCCCAAGAGUUCCUAUCGACGGGGAGGUUUGGCACCUCGAUGUCGGCUCAUCGCAUCCUGGGGCGGAAGUACGUCCCAAGGGUUGGGCUGUUCGCCCAUUAAAGCGGUACGUGAGCUGGGUUCAGAACGUCGCGAGACAGUUCGGUCCAUAUCCGGCGUGGGCGUUAGAGUAUUGAGAGUGACCUUUCUCUAGUACGAGAGGACCGAGAAAGAUGUACCGCUGGUGUACCAGUUCUUGUGCCAACAGGAAAUGCUGGGUAGCUAAGUACAGUUAGGAUAACCGCUGAAAGCAUCU
rnacentral:rRNA from 1 species